CCUGCUGUUUAAACUUUAAGGCGACACCUAACUACAUUAGAGCCCUCCACCAGCAGGCUGAGGCGAACUUUAAAGAAAAACCAGGUCAUGCCGCAUGUUUUUGGUGAGCACAGGAAUCAACAAAGAGACGUUACAUAACUUCUAUUUAUGUCCUCCUUGCUCACUAUCUGCAGGCAGGCAAGAGUCGCAGAGCUGGGAUUUAAUGAGCUCUCUGGGUUUGCUCACCUUCCUGAGCUGGUAGGAACCAGCUUGUGCUCAAAAUGCGUCAGGAAAGAAUCAGGCUGUGGGUGGGCGGCCAGGGGUAGGUGGACUGCAUUGUUGCCAUGGUGUUUUUUUUUAAUUCCCCGUCUCUCAC
ensembl:misc_RNA